rnacentral:rRNA from 1 species
GACGAACGCUGGCGGCGUGCUUAAUACAUGCAAGUCAACUGAACUUGAGGUAGCAAUAUCACAAGAGAGGUGGCGCACGGGUGAGUAACACGUAGGUAAUCUGCCUUUAGGUCUGACAUAAUUCCGCGAAAGCGGGACUAAUAUCAGAUGAUGCAGCGGCUCGACAUCGAGACAGUUGUUAAACCUUCGGGGCCGUAAAGAUGAGCCUGCGUCUGAUUAGGUAGUUGGCGGAGUAAAAGCCCACCAAGCCUGCGAUCAGUAGCUGGUCUGAGAGGAUGAUCAGCCACACUGGAACUGAGACACGGUCCAGACUCCUACGGGAGGCAGCAGUAAGGAAUAUUGCUCAAUGGCCGAAGGACUGAAGCAGCAACGCCGCGUGGAGGAU